CAAGUUCCUAAACUUGAACUUCUAAUUAUUGUGCAAGUUUCCUAACUCAACUUGAGUUGUUAAUUCAAAGCAUGUUAGUGGUUAAUCAUUGUUGAUUUUACCACGUCAAUAAAUUAUUGAUUCGCACAUUGUGCAUGUUAUAUAUGUUCAUCAGGUAUGAAAGGCUGAUCACCUUCAUUACCAUAUGUUUCAGUUAAACUUGUUCAUGUUAAUUGUUGACAUCCAUUAUUAUUGGUUCAGUCAUUCAAUCGUUGAAAAAAAUUGAUUCAUGUUAUUUCACAAUUAUUAUAUUGUUGAAAACUUGAAAGCUUAUCUAUUCUUUUCAAUCAUGAUAUAUCUCCUUUGUAAGUAAAACUUGCUGG
rnacentral:lncRNA from 1 species